AGGGGCAUCGUACAAUGGUAGUAUACCGGUCUCCAACACCGUUGAUGUGGGUUCAAUUCCUACUGCCCCUGCCA
rnacentral:tRNA from 1 species